UACGAAGGGUGCAAGCGUUACUCGGAAUUACUGGGCGUGAAGCGUGCGUAGGUGGUUCGUUAAGUCUGCUGUGAAAUCCCCGGGCUCAACCUGGGAAUGGCAGUGGAUACUGGCAAGCUAGAGUGCGGUAGAGGGUAGUGGAAUUCCCGGUGUAGCGGUGAAAUGCGUAGAGAUCGGGAGGAACACCAGUGGCGAAGGCGGCUACCUGGACCAGCACUGACACUCAGGCACGAAAGCGUGGGGAGCAAACAGG
rnacentral:rRNA from 1 species